rnacentral:rRNA from 1 species
CAUUAAGUUGGGCACUCUAAGGUGACUGCCGGUGACAAACCGGAGGAAGGUGGGGAUGACGUCAAAUCAUCAUGCCCCUUAUGACCUGGGCUACACACGUGCUACAAUGGACGGUACAAAGAGCUGCAAGACCGCGAGGUGGAGCUAAUCUCAUAAAACCGUUCUCAGUUCGGAUUGUAGGCUGCAACUCGCCUACAUGAAGCUGGAAUCGCUAGUAAUCGCGGAUCAGCAUGCCGCGGUGAAUACGUUCCCGGGCCUUGUACACACCGCCCGUCACACCACGAGAGUUUGUAACACCCGAAGUCGGUGGGGUAACCUUUUGGAGCCAGCCGCCUAAGGUGGGACAGAUGAUUGGGGUGAAGUCGUAACAAGGUAGCCGUAUCGGAAGGUGCGGCUGGAUCACCUCCUUUC